CCUACGGGAGGCAGCAGUGAGGAAUAUUGGUCAAUGGACGAGAGUCUGAACCAGCCAAGUAGCGUGAAGGAUGACUGCCCUAUGGGUUGUAAACUUCUUUUAUAAAGGAAUAAAACGAGGCACGUGUGCCUUUUUGCAUGUACUUUAUGAAUAAGGAUCGGCUAACUCCGUGCCAGCAGCCGCGGUAAUACGGAGGAUCCGAGCGUUAUCCGGAUUUAUUGGGUUUAAAGGGAGCGUAGAUGGGUUGUUAAGUCAGUUGUGAAAGUUUGCGGCUCAACCGUAAAAUUGCAAUUGAUACUGGCAGUCUUGAGUGAGUGAGAAGUAUGCGGAAUGCGUGGUGUAGCGGUGAAAUGCAUAGAUAUCACGCAGAACUCCGAUUGCGAAGGCAGCAUACCGGCGCUCAACUGACGCUCAUGCACGAAAGUGUGGGUAUCGAACAGGAUUAGAUACCCUUGUAGUC
rnacentral:rRNA from 1 species